CGCUAUAAGAAAUAAAUUAUAGUAAAUCCUGCUCAAUGAAAAUUAAAUAGCCGCAGUUACCUGUGCUAAGGUAGCAUAAUCAUUAGCCUUAUAAUUAAAGGAUAGUAUGAAUGGAUUAACGAGCAGAUAACUGUAUCCAAUUUAAACAACUAAACUUAUAAUCCAGUAAAAAAUCUGGUAUUUAAAAAAAGGACGACAAGACCCUAUCAAACUUAACACUAUGUUUAGCUGGGGCAGCUAACAAAUAAAACCUUAUAUUAACAAAACAACUAAUCCUAACAAAUGAAAAUCAAAGUUACUGUAGGGAUAACAGCAUAACCUAAUUUAAAAGCUCACAUAAAAAAUUAAAACUAUGACCUCGAUGUUGAAUAAUCUAGCUUAAUAAAGUAGCCAUUAUUACAGUACGUCUGUUCGACCUUUAAAAGAUUACA
rnacentral:rRNA from 1 species